UUAGUUAAAACCAAAGCUAGAGGUAUGUUAUUGUUAAUAAUAAAAUUGAAUUAACUUCUAACUAAA
rnacentral:tRNA from 1 species